AUACCCACACCUCUGAAACUGUGAGCUAAAAUCCAUCUCACCUGCUUCUUAUGAGUUGAUUUUAUUACCUAAUAAAAUGUCCCCAAACUGAUAGGAUUCCCUACCCUUUAGCUUUCUUCUACUACCUUCCUCUCUCUGAGUUGUGAUCUCAUUGUGGUUUUGCUCAACAUUCCAUUUUGCUUUCCAGUGUUAACCACAUCACAAUGGUAGUAUCUUACCACAGACAUCCUUUGUCACCCAGACAGCCCAUUACCUGUCUUCAAGUUCCUUUCUUUACAUCUGUAUCACAAAGAAUGGGUACAGGCGUCCAUCAUCUGUGGUAACUGAGAACUGUUCUUGGGAUGAUGUGAAACAUGUUUUCUUGGCAGUGAACUUACGUAGAUAGGGAAGCACUUUCUUCAACCUUCUGCUGUCAGGGAAAUGAUAUACAAUAAUAGAAAAUUUACAACAGCU
rnacentral:lncRNA from 1 species